rnacentral:rRNA from 1 species
CAAUUUAAACAACGAAGAGUUUGAUCCUGGCUCAGGAUGAACGCUAGCGACAGGCUUAACACAUGCAAGUCGAGGGGCAGCACAGGUAGCAAUACCGGGUGGCGACCGGCGCACGGGUGAGUAACGCGUAUGCAACUUACCUAUCAGAGGGGGAUAACCCGGCGAAAGUCGGACUAAUACCGCAUGAAGCAGGGGCCCCGCAUGGGGAUAUUUGCUAAAGAUUCAUCGCUGAUAGAUAGGCAUGCGUUCCAUUAGGCAGUUGGCGGGGUAACGGCCCACCAAACCGACGAUGGAUAGGGGUUCUGAGAGGAAGGUCCCCCACAUUGGUACUGAGACACGGACCAAACUCCUACGGGAGGCAGCAGUGAGGAAUAUUGGUCAAUGGGCGUAAGCCUGAACCAGCCAAGUCGCGUGAGGGAUGAAGGUUCUAUGGAUCGUAAACCUCUUUUAUAAGGGAAUAAAGUGCGGGACGUGUCCCGUUUUGUAUGUACCUUAUGAAUAAGGAUCGGCUAACUCCGUGCCAGCAGCCGCGGUAAUACGGAGGAUCCGAGCGUUAUCCGGAUUUAUUGGGUUUAAAGGGUGCGUAGGCGGCCUUUUAAGUCAGCGGUGAAAGUCUGUGGCUCAACCAUAGAAUUGCCGUUGAAACUGGGGGGCUUGAGUAUGUUUGAGGCAGGCGGAAUGCGUGGUGUAGCGGUGAAAUGCUUAGAUAUCACGCAGAACCCCGAUUGCGAAGGCAGCCUGCCAAGCCAUGACUGACGCUGAUGCACGAAAGCGUGGGGAUCAAACAGGAUUAGAUACCCUGGUAGUCCACGCAGUAAACGAUGAUCACUAGCUGUUUGCGAUACAGUGUAAGCGGCACAGCGAAAGCGUUAAGUGAUCCACCUGGGGAGUACGCCGGCAACGGUGAAACUCAAAGGAAUUGACGGGGGCCCGCACAAGCGGAGGAACAUGUGGUUUAAUUCGAUGAUACGCGAGGAACCUUACCCGGGUUUGAACGCAUUCGGACCGAGGUGGAAACACCUUUUCUAGCAAUAGCCGUUUGCGAGGUGCUGCAUGGUUGUCGUCAGCUCGUGCCGUGAGGUGUCGGCUUAAGUGCCAUAACGAGCGCAACCCUUGCCACUAGUUACUAACAGGUAAAGCUGAGGACUCUGGUGGGACUGCCAGCGUAAGCUGCGAGGAAGGCGGGGAUGACGUCAAAUCAGCACGGCCCUUACAUCCGGGGCGACACACGUGUUACAAUGGCGUGGACAAAGGGAAGCCACCUGGCGACAGGGAGCGAAUCCCCAAACCACGUCUCAGUUCGGAUCGGAGUCUGCAACCCGACUCCGUGAAGCUGGAUUCGCUAGUAAUCGCGCAUCAGCCAUGGCGCGGUGAAUACGUUCCCGGGCCUUGUACACACCGCCCGUCAAGCCAUGGGAGCCGGGGGUACCUGAAGUCCGUAACCGAAAGGAUCGGCCUAGGGUAAAACUGGUGACUGGGGCUAAGUCGUAACAAGGUAGCCGUACCGGAAGGUGCGGCUGGAACACCUCCUUUCU